AACAGCCGCAGAACCUUAUACUGUGCUAAGGUAGCAUAAUCACUUGUCUUUUAAUUUAAGAAUAGAAUGAAUGGAAAAACGAAUAUUAUUCUGCUUCAUUCUUUUAAAAUAAAAUUACUUAAAAGUAAAAAUUCUUUUUUCAAGAAAAAAGACGAUAAGACCCUAAAGAACUUAACUACAGUUAAGCUGGGGCGGCAUUGUAAAAAAAUCUUACACUAACCCUUUAAUUACUCCUAACUUUAUAUAAAGUUACCUUAGGGAUAACAGCAUAAUUUAAUUUUAAAGCUCUUAUAAAAAAUUAAGAUUAUGACCUCGAUGUUGAAUUAAGCCUCUCUCCGACGAAAAUUUCGGACAAGAAAGUCUGUUCGACUUGUAAAAAAUUACAUGAUUUGAGUUCAGACCGGUGAAAACCAGGUCGGUUUCUAUCUUUUUUAAAAAUGUACCAGUACGAAAGGACCUUACAAUAAGUUACUAGCCCCAUUUUAGCAAACUAAUGCAAUAGAUUUAGAAUCUUUCAAACUCUUUAUUACCACAAUAUUUAAUAUUUUAAUUACUAUUAUUGCAAUUCUCCUUUCUGUUGCUUUUUAUACUAUUUUAGAACGAAAAUUCUUAAGCUAUAUCCAAAUACGCAAAGGGCCUAAUAAAGUAAGAUUUAUUGGAAUUUUACAGCCAUUUAGAGACGCCAUUAAACUCUUUAACAAAACAAUAACACUACCUACAACUAGAAAUACCACACUAAUUAUCGCUACCCCCUUAUUUACCUUCUUUCUUAGCUUAAUUAUAUGACCCCUACUGCCUCUCAGACACUUUAACAUUAUCGACAGCUCAUUUAAUACCCUAAUUUUUUUUGUAAUUUCAAGUCUAAGCGUCUAUUCAAUUUUAACAAUUGGCUGAUCA
rnacentral:rRNA from 1 species